UACGAAGGGGGCUAGCGUUGUUCGGAAUUACUGGGCGUAAAGAGCUCGUAGGCGGCUUGUUGCGUCGACCGUGAAAACCCGGGGCUCAACUUCGGGCUUGCGGUCGAUACGGGCGGGCUAGAGUUCGGUAGGGGAGACUGGAAUUCCUGGUGUAGCGGUGAAAUGCGCAGAUAUCAGGAGGAACACCGGUGGCGAAGGCGGGUCUCUGGGCCGAUACUGACGCUGAGGAGCGAAAGCGUGGGGAGCGAACAGG
rnacentral:rRNA from 1 species